GUUGACCUCGAUAGGGGUAGGAAUACCCGCUGAACUUAAGCAUAUCAUA
rnacentral:rRNA from 1 species